GACGAACGCUGGCGGCGUGCUUAACACAUGCAAGUCGAACGGAAAGGCCCUGCUUUUGUGGGGUGCUCGAGUGGCGAACGGGUGAGUAACACGUGAGUAACCUGCCCUUGACUUUGGGAUAACUUCAGGAAACUGGGGCUAAUACCGGAUAGGAGCUCCUGCUGCAUGGUGGGGGUUGGAAAGUUUCGGCGGUUGGGGAUGGACUCGCGGCUUAUCAGCUUGUUGGUGGGGUAGUGGCUUACCAAGGGUUUGACGGGUAGCCGGCCUGAGAGGGUGACCGGCCACAUUGGGACUGAGGUACGGCCCAGACUCCUACGGGAGGCAGCGGUGGGGAAUAUUGCACAAUGGGCGGAAGCCUGAUGCAGCGACGCCGCGUGCGGGAUGACGGCCUUCGGGUUGUAAACCGCUUUCGCCUGUGACGAAGCGUGAGUGACGGUACUGGGUAAAGAAGCACCGGCUAACUACGUG
rnacentral:rRNA from 1 species